rnacentral:rRNA from 1 species
CGAGUGGCGGACGGGUGAGUAAUGUCUGGGAAACUGCCUGAUGGAGGGGGAUAACUACUGGAAACGGUAGCUAAUACCGCAUAACGUCGCAAGACCAAAGAGGGGGACCUUCGGGCCUCUUGCCAUCGGAUGUGCCCAGAUGGGAUUAGCUAGUAGGUGGGGUAACGGCUCACCUAGGCGACGAUCCCUAGCUGGUCUGAGAGGAUGACCAGCCACACUGGAACUGAGACACGGUCCAGACUCCUACGGGAGGCAGCAGUGGGGAAUAUUGCACAAUGGGCGCAAGCCUGAUGCAGCCAUGCCGCGUGUAUGAAGAAGGCCUUCGGGUUGUAAAGUACUUUCAGCGGGGAGGAAGGCGAUAAGGUUAAUAACCUUGUCGAUUGACGUUACCCGCAGAAGAAGCACCGGCUAACUCCGUGCCAGCAGCCGCGGUGAUACGGAGGGUGCAAGCGUUAAUCGGAAUUACUGGGCGUAAAGCGCACGCAGGCGGUCUGUCAAGUCGGAUGUGAAAUCCCCGGGCUCAACCUGGGAACUGCAUUCGAAACUGGCAGGCUAGAGUCUUGUAGAGGGGGGUAGAAUUCCAGGUGUAGCGGUGAAAUGCGUAGAGAUCUGGAGGAAUACCGGUGGCGAAGGCGGCCCCCUGGACAAAGACUGACGCUCAGGUGCGAAAGCGUGGGGAGCAAACAGGAUUAGAUACCCUGGUAGUCCACGCCGUAAACGAUGUCGACUUGGAGGUUGUGCCCUUGAGGCGUGGCUUCCGGAGCUAACGCGUUAAGUCGACCGCCUGGGGAGUACGGCCGC